AUUGAACGCUGGCGGCAGGCCUAACACAUGCAAGUCGAACGAGUGGCGGACGGGUGAGUAAUGUCUGGGAAACUGCCUGAUGGAGGGGGAUAACUACUGGAAACGGUAGCUAAUACCGCAUACCAUCAGAUGUGCCCAGAUGGGAUGAGCUAGUAGGUGGGGUAACGGCUCACCUAGGCGACGAUCCCUAGCUGGUCUGAGAGGAUGACCAGCCAAACUGGAACUGAGAGACGGUGCAGACGCCUACGGGAGGAAGCAGUGGAGAAUAUGGCACAAUGGGCGAAAGCCUGAUACAGCCAUGCCGCGUGUAUGAAGAAGGCCUUCGGGUUGUAAAGUACUUUCAGCGGGGAGGCGUUACCCGCAGAAGAAGCACCGGCUAACUCCGUGCCAGCAGCCGCGGUAAUAC
rnacentral:rRNA from 1 species